rnacentral:rRNA from 1 species
UACGAAGGGGGCUAGCGUUGCUCGGAAUCACUGGGCGUAAAGGGUGCGUAGGCGGGUCUUUAAGUCAGGGGUGAAAUCCUGGAGCUCAACUCCAGAACUGCCUUUGAUACUGAGGAUCUUGAGUUCGGGAGAGGUGAGUGGAACUGCGAGUGUAGAGGUGAAAUUCGUAGAUAUUCGCAAGAACACCAGUGGCGAAGGCGGCUCACUGGCCCGAUACUGACGCUGAGGCACGAAAGCGU